CAGGGUGACAGCGGCGCAGGUUUGAACUUCCUGAGAAACAACCGUUGGGAACUCGGUGGCAUUGUUUGCUGGGGAGGAUGUGCCGGGGAGAAAAAACCAGAAGUGUACUCUUCCGUCAACAUGCUACUUCCUUGGAUUAAAUUGACGAUUAGAGACAUAGCCUAACUUUUUACCUCUGUAUAUAGUAGCUAUGAAUAAAACCGUCUUUUUCCAGAGCCUCAACCAAGGUCAUUUAUUUGUAACAGAUAUGUAGCCAACCAUAGCAAUUGAAUACCAACUUCUGUUCUUGACGUGUGGACUUGAAUUGAUCGCCCUGAAGGUAUUAUACCUUCUACAACUCUGCUGUCAGAUGGUAAAAUAAAUAAAGAAAAAGU